rnacentral:rRNA from 1 species
GACGGAGGGGGCAAGCGUUGUCCGGACUCACUGGGCGUAAAGGGUGCGUAGGCGGUCUUGUGCGUCCGCGCUGAAAUCAUCCGGCUCAACCGGGUGGCGCGUGUGGAUACGAUGAGACUCGAGGCUCUGAGAGGGUGGCGGAACUCCUGGUGUAGUGGUGAAAUGCGUAGAGAUCAGGAAGAAACACCCCGUGGCGCAAGCGGCCACCUGGCAGAGACCUGACGCUGAGGCACGGAAAGCGUGGGGAGCGAACCGG